GACGGGGCCCGCACAAGCGGUGGAGCAUCUGGUUUAAUUCGAAGCAACGCGAAGAACCUUACCAGGUCUUGACAUCCCGAUGCUAUUUCUAGAGAUAGAAAGUUACUUCGGUACAUCGGUGACAGGUGGUGCAUGGUUGUCGUCAGCUCGUGUCGUGAGAUGUUGGGUUAAGUCCCGCAACGAGCGCAACCCCUAUUGUUAGUUGCCAUCAUUCAGUUGGGCACUCUAGCGAGACUGCCGGUAAUAAACCGGAGGAAGGUGGGGAUGACGUCAAAUCAUCAUGCCCCUUAUGACCUGGGCUACACACGUGCUACAAUGGUUGGUACAACGAGUUGCGAGUCGGUGACGGCGAGCUAAUCUCUUAAAGCCAAUCUCAGUUCGGAUUGUAGGCUGCAACUCGCCUACAUGAAGUCGGAAUCGCUAGUAAUCGCGGAUCAGCACGCCGCGGUGAAUACGUUCCCGGGCCUU
rnacentral:rRNA from 1 species